AUGCAGGUAGUUUAACUAAAACAUUAAGCUGUGGAUUUAAAAUUAUGGACUUACCCCCAUCAUGCAUC
rnacentral:tRNA from 1 species